rnacentral:misc_RNA from 1 species
AUAAGGGAGAAUCUACUCCUCUGUUCAACUCCUUCGCCUGUGUCAGCUUUCCAAAAAACUGAACUAAUCUCUGCAAUCAUGUAUCCUUACAGAUUGUAAGAUUAUAGAGCUAAGAAAGGUGUCUUCACUAGGAACAAGCUAUCCUCCUUGAGUUUCAGCUUGGUAGAACACCGAAGCUAGGCUUAGGAAGAUUAUUGAAUAGAGUUCUG